rnacentral:sRNA from 1 species
AUAAGAUUUAUCUCGACUACCCCAAUGAUUAUUCUUCGAAAAGGCUUAGCCUCUUGGUAAAAUAAACUUAAAAUCCCUAUAAGUAGGGUGUGAUAUAAAACUAUCCCAAUUCAAAAUCGCGUCACAUAAUAAACAAAAAGUUGAAGCAUCUUUAAAGGUAUGAUUUGUAGGACAUAUUCAUUUACUUAAUAGGUAGGCAUUGAACAUACGGUAUUUUUUUUAUGGUUUAUCUAAGCAACAUCAACAUGACCCACAAUUCUAUGAAGUCCUUAAUAAUAGGUUUUAUUUAUCCCGAUUACCCCAAUCAUUACCUUUCAAAAAGGCUUAGCCUCUUGGUAAAAUAAACUUAAUUUCCAUAUAGGUAGGAUGUCUUAUAAAACUGUCCCACUUCAAAAUCUCGUCGCAUAAUAAGCAAAAAGUUGAAGCAUCUUAAAAGGUCUGAUUUUUAGGACAUAUUAAUUUAUUUAAUAGGUAGGCAUUGAACAUACGGUAUUUUUAUAUGGUAUAUCUUAGCAACUGCAACAUGACCCACAAUUAUAUGAACUCUUUAACAAGAUAUUUUAUUUAUCCCGAUUACCCCAAUCAUUACCCUUCGAAAAGGCUUAGCCUCUUGGUAAAAUAAUUUUAAAAUCCCUAUAGGUAGGGUGUGUUACAAAACUGUCCCAAUUCAAAAUCGAGUCUGGUAAUAAACAAAAUUUAAAGCAACGCGAAGGAUAAGAUUUUUAGGACAUACUAAAUUAUUUAAUAGGAAGGCAUUGAACAUACGGUAUUUUUAAAUGGUAUAUCUUAGCAACUGCAACAUGACCCACAAUUAUAUAAACUGUUAAAUAAUGGAUAUGAUUUAUCUCGACUACCCCAAUGAUUAUCCUUCGAAAAGGCUUAGCCUCUUGGUAAAAUAAACUUAAUUUCCAUAUAGGUAGGAUGUCUUAUAAAACUGCCCCACUUCAAAAUUUCGUCACAUAAUAAACAAAAAGUUGAAGCAUCUUUUAAGGUAUGGUUUUAGGACAUAUAAAUUUACUUAAUAGGUAGGCACUGAACAUACGGUAUUUUUUAUAUGGUUUAUCUAAGCAACAUCGACAUGACCCACAAUUCUAUGAAGUCUUUAACAAUAGGUUUUAUUUAUCCCGAUUACCCCAAUCAUUACCCUACAAAAAUGGUUAGCCUCUUGGUAAAAUAAACUUAUAAUCCCUAUAGGUAGGGUGUAUUAUAAAACUGUCCCAAUUCAAAAUCGGGUCUGGUAAUAAAGAAAAUUAAAAGCAACACGAAGAAAUGUAUUUUUAGGACAUACUAAUUUACUUAAUAGGUAGGCGUUGAAAACACGGUAUUUUGUAUAUGCAACUAUCUUAGCAACUUUAACAUGACCCAUAAUUAACAAAAGGUUUUAUUUGUUCCGAUUACCUCAAAUAUUAUCCGUCGAAGAGGCUUUGCCUCUUGGAAAAAUAAACUUAAAAUUCAUAUAGGUAGGGUGUGAUAUAAAACUGUCCCAAUUCAAAAUCUCAAUUCAAAACCAAAACAUAAAGUAUCUUGAAAGGUGUCCUAAAAUCACAUGCUAGUUUAAUUUUCGUCAAAAAGGAUUAGCCUCUUGGUCAAAUAAAUUUUCCAAUUCAAAUUUCCGUAACCAGUGAGUCAAGAUAUUAGAUAGGAUAGGAUAGGAUAGAAAUUUACUGUAUUCAUUAUGUGGUAUUUUGUAUUAACUGCAACGGAACCACAAAAAUACAAGCCCCUUAAUAAUAUGUAUGAUAUAUUUCGAUAACCCCAAGCCAAAAUAUAAAACUAGAGAUUUUGAUUAGGCCGUUAAAACAAUGACAACAUAAAAUGUAGUAUUCCGUGUGCAUUUUGUGUUGUAAUUUUCAAUUGUUUUAUGUUUCACUUCUAAUUUGUAUAAUUUAUUCUUUUAAGCAACCUAAUUUUUGAUUUUUGGUAUUUUUGUGAUUUUAGUCACAUUCAUUUGAAAAGAAAUAGUUUCUGGGAAAUAAAUCUCGAAAUAUUGUAGAAACACGAAAACUAAUAACGUAAAGUCGAGAAACAUGGUAACUAUUUUGAAAAUGUAAUGGAUUGAAAAAAGUUUAAAAUAACCAAAUUACUGCACAAGUUUAAACUAAACAAAUCCACUGCGCCUUCAAGCUUGGAUUCAUACUUAUUACAAAAAUAAGCUAAACGAAAAUAACAAAAAGAAUCACUUUAAACCAAAAAUGCCUAUAACAAUUAAAGUGAGGCGCAACAAAUUAUAAAAAAUAAAUUGUAUUAAAUCACGAAUCUUUUACAAAUUAAUAUUCAUUGCUGCAAAUUUCCGGACUACAUUCGAAAUGACAAACACGAUUUUUUGGAAUUGUUAUUUAUAAUUCAUAAAGCCAUUCAUUGUGAAUAUAAUGUGAUAUAAUGUGAAACUCUAAAAGUUCUUUAUAGAGAGCAUAAGACACAUAUUCUUCAAUUAUCGUAUCGUAAAAAUGAUCCGUACUCUUUAUGAAAUUAUCCACAAUAACAAUUAUUUUUCAAAAGGCAGGGUGCACUCUUUCACGGUAGUUUUAUAAAAACUAAGGGAAUUAUUCAUUGGAUUCCUAAAACAUGAUAGUGAAGUACCCACUAAUGUCAUAUUACACUUAAAAAGCUUAAACUUGGUAAAUUAAACUCAAAUUCCAUUCUAAUCACCACGAUUCUUAAAACUCCCCAACAAUAUACUUUGAAGUUUUUCCCAAUUACCCGAUAUAUUGGCUGCCAAAACCGCAUCACAUUGUAUAUCAUUAAAAAUUAUGAAUGAAAUUAUCAGAAAAUAUUCAUGGCACCUUACGAAUUACUCGUGCAAAUAAUCUUGACAGAGAAUGAUGCAAGCAUAAGAUAAGUUAAAUUUUUAUGAAAGCACGGGAAGUAUGUAGCAUACAGAGGACCCCAACCGUAUUAACACUCAAAAUGGAUUAACUACCAAUUUUCGAAUAAAUUUAAUACAAACUUGAAAUUAAUUUGAGGAAAACCACAAGAAACGGUUUAACCAACGUUUUUAAAUGAAAAUAAUGAAGGUCCUGAAAAAUCCUCGACUAUUUAUCAUAAAGCAAGACAGCAGCUGAAAUGGCGUGCUAAGCUUAUUUACAAUGUUGGAUUGAAUUCUUCUCAUUCGCUGGAUUAAAUUCAUUUUCACAAAGUAUUCUGCAAUAAUCCCACCACCUGCGAAUUGUAAACCAAUUGUAGACUCAGCAAUUAAAACAUUCUUAUCUAUCUCGCGUAAGACACUUCUCUUUGAAAACUAACUAUAUUCGAACUUAGACUAAAUUUUUUUCUUCAUACAAAACACUUAAAAUGAAUUUCGCAUUGGGACAUAAGUCUUCAGAUAAAUUAAUGAUGAAUUAACCAAGGCAAUAUAUUCAACAUAAUUAUACCACACAUAUUUUUCGUAAUUUAGUAUAUAUGUACUACCUCAAUUUCGUUGAUGUACAAAUACAAUGAUUGAAGUUCUUGGUAUGAUAUGGAAUGCUUAAAAAGCUUAUGAUGUCACUAUAGUGCUAUAGUGCUAGUCACUUUCAGUAGUGCAAGCUAUUUUUAGUUUUAUUUAAAAUGCAAAUGGGAAACUUGCUUUUUAUAGAUCGGUUGAAGAAUUCAUUUUCAAUGCAAUGGAAUCUUGUCAUCUAACACUGCACUUUGACUGUUACUAGAAAAAGUAAAACAGUAUGAAUUUUAAUAUUAAUGUUCUGUUUUCACUCACAUAAACCGUAAAUGUGGUAUAUCUAACUUAAUGAACAUAUGGUAGUUCGUUUCUGUUCAAAUACUUUUCUCUUUGCACGGCAUUUCUUUCGUAUAACUUCAAACAAAUGUCUGCGCAGUAUUAACCAUAUAAAGCCAUAAUACCAAUAUUUCUGAUUUUCAUAUUGUUCCAAAUCCUUAGAAAUGGUAAUAGCAUCUUAUUUUUUACUCUACACUCGCACACCAUAAUUCCUCUCCACUUGAUAACAAUGUCCCAUACCAUUCUACUGGUUUUUGUCACUGUGAUUUAUGUUAUACAGUCCUCCUUCGAUACAUUAAAUUGACUUUCGUUCUUCGCUGCAUUUUAUGCAUACGAAAAGUACAUGAAAUAACAAUAACCUGUUUGUUAAAUAAUAUAUUAUAUUAUUAUUCAAAAGAUUCCCAACAAACACAUAAGGAAAUUAAAAAAAAAAAAUCCUUAAAUGCACCACUAUAUUGGCCAUGACAAAUUAACACUACGGACAUAACCAAUUUUCUGGCGAACUGCAAGUGUCCUCCUUUCCAUUCUAUUUGACCAAAUAUAUAAUAUGCUAUACUCAAUCAAGCACACACAUCUUCUGAAAUUUGAGUACUUUAGUACUGCAAACAUUUGCUUUCAACCAAAAUGAUUUUCCCAACUUAAACAUUAUUAAUAACUCGUCAGCGAAUGAGAUGAGUUGAUAUGCAUUUGAAACAUAUGUCUAAAAAAUAUGUAUUAAGUGAUCAAAAAUUAUUGGAUUCUGAAAAUUUGACAAUGAAAAGUCCACUUGGUAAACUUCAAUUUGUAUAAUCAAAAAACAUAGAUAAGAUGUGAUGUUGAUUUGUACCCAUUAAAAGGCUUGUUAUUAUGAAACACUAGAAGAAUAUAUAAGAGAAUAUCUCUUCACAUGGGCCUCAAUAAUAUGAGCUCCUCAAUAUUAGGUACGAUAUAUAUUGAAAUAUAUUGCCUAAAUAGGUGGGCAUUGAACUUACGGUAUUUGAUCAAUAUGGGUAAGGUGUGAUAUGAAACUGUUCCAAUCAAGAUCUCGACCCAUUAUAAA